rnacentral:rRNA from 1 species
ACGGGAUGCCUUAAGGUAACAGCGAGUGAAGCGGCAAAAGCUCAAAUUUGAAAUCUGGUACCUUCGGUGCCCGAGUUGUAAUUUGGAGAGGGCAACUUUGGGGCCGUUCCUUGUCUAUGUUCCUUGGAACGGACUCAUAGAGGGUGAGAAUCCCGUGUGGCGAGGAGUGCGGUUCUUUGUAAAGUGCCUUCGAAGAGUCGAGUUGUUUGGGAAUGCAGCUCUAAGUGGGUGGUAAAUUCCAUCUAAAGCUAAAUAUUGGCGAGAGACCGAUAGCGAACAAGUACAGUGAUGGAAAGAUGAAAAGAACUUUGAAAAGAGAGUGAAAAAGUACGUGAAAUUGUUGAAAGGGAAGGGCAUUUGAUCAGACAUGGUGUUUUGUGCCCUCUGCUCCUUGUGGGUAGGGGAAUCUCGCAUUUCACUGGGCCAGCAUCAGUUUUGGUGGCAGGAUAAAUCCAUAGGAAUGUAGCUUGCCUCGGUAAGUAUUAUAGCCUGUGGGAAUACUGCCAGCUGGGACUGAGGACUGCGACGUAAGUCAAGGAUGCUGGCAUAAUGGUUAUAUGCCGCCCGUCUUGAACCACGG